CCUACGGGUGGCAGCAGUCGAGAAUCAUUCACAAUGGGGGAAACCCUGAUGGGGCGACGCCGCGUGGGGGAAUGAAGGUCUUCGGAUUGUAAACCCCUGUUAUGUGGGAGCAAAUUAAAAAGAUAGUACCACAAGAGGAAGAGACGGCUAACUCUGUGCCAGCAGCCGCGGUAAUACAGAGGUCUCAAGCGUUGUUCGGAAUCACUGGGCGUAAAGCGUGCGUAGGCUGUUUCGUAAGUCGUGUGUGAAAGGCGCGGGCUCAACCCGCGGACGGCACAUGAUACUGCGAGACUAGAGUAAUGGAGGGGGAACCGGAAUUCUCGGUGUAGCAGUGAAAUGCGUAGAUAUCGAGAGGAACACUCGUGGCGAAGGCGGGUUCCUGGACAUUAACUGACGCUGAGGCACGAAGGCCAGGGGAGCGAAAAGGAUUAGAUACCCGGGUAGUC
rnacentral:rRNA from 1 species